AUAAAGGCAGAUUUGCUGCUCUGCAGAGCUCCAUCUAAGCUCUUCAGGCUGAGGUUCAUAUCUGUGCUGGUCAAGGCUUUAGUGUAAAUUCGUUCAGUCUUGAGCUCACAUUAGUUUAAUCUAAAUAAUUACAAGGUCACUUUGCAGUGCACCUUUUUCUUUAAAAGUACAUCCGUGUUUAUAAUUGUGUGUGAUUAUCAAAAAUGAAGCUGAAAGGAGAUGUAAAUAAUGGUCAUUUCAUUUACUAAUUUAACUGCAAGUGUAUUCAAUGCACAUAUAUAUGUUAUACUGCCUGCUCUAAAUCCUUUGUGUUUUUUUCCAGAUUGCAGACUCUGUGGUGAAGAGGUUUUGGAUUUAUAUCUGUGUUUCUGAUAACACCACAAGUUGUGAGGCAGAAUCAGUAGUGUCUGUUCUUGAUUAUUUCCUCGUAGUUCUGGUUUGAGGAGCCACCUGCCCGGUUUCAAGGGGAUUCCCAGGGGAUUUUGGAAAGCGAGUACACAGAAAUGGAUCACCUGAGUUGUAACAGCAGCCUAAUUUGUGUAGGAUUUUGGAUUGCCCUUCACAACACUCUGCUUAAAUGCCUUACAAAUGUUGCAUCGGUACUGAUGAACGUUCUUCCUGCAGGUUUGGCUUUCCUCUUUCACACUUCCCCGUAGCUGGACAAACACAGGCUUCAGAGCCAACAACUUCAUUACUGCAAAAAGUCCCAGAGGAUCCAUUCUGCUCACAGAGUGGCCAGGUCCUCGGUUUUAUCUCAUCUCGCAGACAGUUUCGCUGGCAAGCAGAGCACCGUCUGCAGUACUGUACAGCGCUACCUCCAGGGUGUCAUGCUGACUGAAUGUCAUGCCGUGGUGUGUUGCAGGAGCCUGUGGCACCUAAGUCAGCAGUCCCUGAAAACAGGGAAAGAAGAUUCCACGAAUCCCUGGAUAUCCCCAUGGUCAAAUCCGGCUGCAAAGAUUAACUGAGAGGUCACUGUGUGUCUCUUAAACCUUUCAAUAUGUUCUACUGCAGGUUUUUUCCCAGGCUAAUUAAUUAAAGGUCUGAGCUAUAAGUUUAGUUGUAUUUUAUCCCUCUUUUCCUUCUGUCUUCCAUCUGUCUACUUUACUCUAACUUAAUCUCUAAAUAUAACUUCACCAAGGUAUUGCUGCUGCCCAGUAUCACCAUAGCACCUGAAUAUAAUUAAACAGCUUUUACUGUUCUUGAAUGUUUUUGAUCCAGAGGAACACGACUCACUGCUGCUUCUGUUCAGCCCACACUAAUUCUGAAAGUUUUAGAUGGCAAAUAAUGUGCAGAUUUUGUCUUCAACAUGUGACCUUAUAAACUUUUGUGUUUCCUUGUAUGGCCCGUGCCUGGGGAGACAUUUCUCCUUAACAGUGUUCAGUUAGGUGACAAUGUUUGUUUCUCUUGUGAUUACCGUGUGUUUGAUGAUGAUGUUCCAAUGAUUGUAUUGUCAUGUUUGUAGUUACAAACUUAAUUAUCCAUGAUCUUGGUAACGUGCAUUUUCUAAUAAAGUAAUCAACAUUUUUUUAAAGCCUUCCCUG
rnacentral:lncRNA from 1 species